rnacentral:rRNA from 1 species
CUAUUUAGUGGCUAAACUUCGAGGCUAGGUACUUUAAAACACCCGUAAUCCCUCCCGGAACUCACCAUGCCGGCCUCACUUCUUUCCCCUUUUCACUCCCAAAUACUUCCCCUUUUGUCCCCUACGAGACAAAACAACUGCGUUCCCCGUACCGCGGAACCCGUCCCCGCAGUACUAGUACCGUACCUCAGGACAGGACCUCCCAGUACCACGGUACGGGACGGUUGCACCGUUCAGCGGCGACUGGUCGUACCGCGGGUUGUUGCUACUCGCCGUCGCCUCCCUCCUGCCCCUCGUGUGUCGCCGCCGCCUCCCCUCGUCGUCGUUGUUUGGAGAGAGAAGGAGGGCAGGGGGUGCGGCGGUGGGACGGAGGAGAGGAGGGCACCUGCAGCUGGUGGGAGGUGCGGGAUCGGAGGGGAAGAGGAGGAGUACAGGAGCGGAGGCUGCGGCAGCGGGGGUUGGGUCCGCUGGGGAAGGAGGUUGAACGCGGCCUGCAGUGGGCCUCAACUCUCCUCUCCUCUCCGUCUAGAGUGGUGGUGACCACUGGAGGGAGGGAGGGAGGAGUCUACCUGCCUGCUCCAUUGUGGCGGGUUUUGGGAUCGGGGCGGGGAGUGGGUGGGUGUACCUACCUGCCUACCCCUGCCCCUCGUCCGGUCCGCCGCCGGUCUAGGUGGUGCCGACGGCGCCAAGUAGACCUAGGCGCGGGAGGGGUCAACGAGCGCGCGAUCCUCUUCUCCUCCACCGUCGCCGAUGACGGCAAGAGCACGCCGGCCCGUCGAGCAGACGAGGCUGGGGCAGUUCAGAACCUCCUCUACGUUAUCUUGGACUCUACGCUAAGAAGCCGGGGUUGUUCGCGGUCCUGUUCCCGGUGAGAAGCAAAAUAUAAGGACGCACGUUAUAUAUCACGUAUCAACCAAGUAAAAGUAGAUACUGUUUAGUACAGAAUGAAAAUGUAAAUAGUCCUGGUCGUUCAGUUUCAACUUUGAGCUGUGGUAGACUUGGAUAAAGUACCUUAACCCCUGACUUAAACCUAUGAAACAAAACUCCGUUUUCUCUAAUAAACUUCAAACGACUAAAGUAUUCGGGCAUUUACUGGCAUGUGGUAAACUUCGCGUCCCCACACUGCACGGCGUUGUGGCUGGUUGUUCCACAACGAUGACAAAAACGCGUCGCUCAGCUCCGCUCGGUCACGGCUAACGGUGUUUUCCUCCAUUCGGUUCCCGCUCUUUAUCUCGUACGGCAUACACCAAAAAGUAAAGUCCGUUAUUUAUGAUAGUCCGACCAAACACGACACAACCUAAGCCAGGUCAAUGUUCUGUCUCCGUCUCCUAUACCUAUGUUCUUCAGUUCUUCUAUGGGAAGAGAGACAAAGAUUUAAUGUUUCAUGGAACGGACCUAGACCUCCACGUCAAUGCCGUUUGAGUUGUAUCAGUUCCUGUCCUUUCUUGGUACCUUUCUUCUUCCCCAAAUCCACCAUUCGUGUAACUGUCCUAGCUGCUAGCUGUUGGGUUAGAUAGAGUGACUACAACUUCCAUCUCCGGGUCUCCAAUUCUAAUACACGUCACUUGGUACGGAAACACCCUCCUGGUUCUGUUCUCCUGGCGUACAGCUCAUAGUCGGGAUUUUCACACCUCACGUAGGCGGCAUUUGUCGAUGUAACCAGAGGUGGGCAAGUUACGACGUAGUGAACCAAGCAAACGAACGAAGGAAACGAGCCAAGUCCUCCGUCAGCCCCUCUUCCGAUCCCGGUCAAUGUUCUUGGAGUCCCAGAACGCAGUACCAACAUAGGUACGUACACAACUUUCGUAACUCGAAUUAAAUCUAUACAUCUGCGUUAAGGAAAAGCACAUAUUCUAUUAACCAAAUAUAUAUCUGACAGGUACUACCUUCAACUUCAAUGACACUAUUAACCAAAUAGACGAUAAAAAAUAUAAACGUUACGAACAACCCAACCUAUACUGAUAUGGGCCGUCGCCACACGACGGCCCACGCCGUUCGGUGUGAAGGAAGACAAUGAAAUAAG